rnacentral:rRNA from 1 species
GAUGAACGCUGGCGGCGUGCCUAAUACAUUCAAGUCGAGCGAACGGACGAGAAGCUUGUUUCUCUGAUGUUAGCGGCGGACGGGUGAGUAACACGUGGAUAACCUACCUAUAAGACUGGUAUCACUUCGGGACACCGGCGCUAAUACCGGAUAAUAUUUUGCACCGCAUUGUUCAUAAGUGAAAUACGGUCUUGCUGUCUCUUAUAGAUGGUUCCGCGCUGCAUUAGCUAGUUGGUAAGGUAACGGCUUACCAAGGCAACGAUGCAUAGCCGACCUGAGAGGGUGAUCGGCCACACUGGAACUGAGACACGGUCCAGACUCCUACGGGAGGCAGCAGUAGGGAAUCUUCCGCAAUGGGCGAAAGCCUGACGGAGCAACGCCGCGUGAGUGAUGAAGGUCUUCGGAUCGUAAAACUCUGUUAUUAGGGAAGAACAUAUGUGUAAGUAACUGUGCACAUCUUGACGGUACCUAAUCAGAAAGCCACGGCUAACUACGUG